rnacentral:tRNA from 1 species
CGGAGCGUAGCGCAGUCUGGUAUCGCACCUGAUUUGGGAUCAGGGGGUCGCAGGUUCGAAUCCUGCCGCUCCGACCA